GUGCCAGCAGCCGCGGUAAUACCGGCAGCUCGAGUGAUGACCGAAUUUAUUGGGCCUAAAGCGUCCGUAGCUGGCCACGCAAGUCCAUCGGGAAAUCCACCUGCCCAACAGGUGGGCGCCCGGUAGAAACUGCGUGGCUUGGGACCGGAAGAUCCAAGGGCUACGUCCGGGGUAGGAGUGAAAUCCUGAAAUCCUGGACGGACCGCCGAUGGCGAAAGCACCUUGGAAGGACGGAUCCGACACUGAGGGACGAAAGCUAGGGUCUCGAACCGGAUUAGAUACCCUCGUAGUCC
rnacentral:rRNA from 1 species